rnacentral:rRNA from 1 species
UACGUAGGGGGCAAGCGUUGUCCGGAUUUAUUGGGCGUAAAGAGCGUGUAGGCGGCCAGGUAGGUCCGUUGUGAAAACUCGAGGCUCAACCUCGAGACGCCGAUGGAAACCAUCUGGCUAGAGUCCGGAAGAGGAGAGUGGAAUUCCCGGUGUAGCGGUGAAAUGCGCAGAUAUCGGGAAGAACACCCGUGGCGAAGGCGGCUCUCUGGAACGCAACUGACGCUGAGACGCGAAAGCGUGGGGAGCAAACAGG